UUUCCGUAGGUGAACCUACGGAAGGAUCAUUAAAAAUGAAGCCGGGAAACCGGUCCUUCUCACCCUUGAUUAUCUCAAUUUGUUGCUUUGGUGGGCCGCGCAAUCACCGGCUUCGGCUGGAUCGUGCCCGCCAGAGGACCACAACUCUGUAUUAUAUGUCUUCUGAGUACUAUAAAAUAGUUAAAACUUUCAACAACGGAUCUCUUGGUUCUG
rnacentral:misc_RNA from 1 species